rnacentral:rRNA from 1 species
UACGUAGGGUGCGAGCGUUAAUCGGAAUUACUGGGCGUAAAGCGUGCGCAGGCGGUCUGUUAAGACCGAUGUGAAAUCCCCGGGCUUAACCUGGGAACUGCAUUGGUGACUGCAUUGCUGGAGUAUGGCAGAGGGGGGGUGGAAUUCCACGUGUAGCAGUGAAAUGCGUAGAGAUGUGGAGGAACACCGAUGGCGAAGGCAGCCCCCUGGGCCAAUACUGACGCUCAUGCACGAAAGCGUGGGGAGCAAACAGG